GGAAUCCCUGGUUGUUAGGUAGGAAGGUACGGUCAAUUUUCCAGCUAAUCAGGGGUGCAACCGGCUAUAAAAGGGGCAUUGCAGUUGUGUGUGAGGCGGCAGAAGGAACAGUGUAUUUUUGUUCGACGACAUGGACAGAUGUGAUGGAUCAGAGUUUCUAGGCGACGAGAAGAAUCAACACAUCACUAUUUAUCUACAGUAUGUGUGGUAUUAAUCUGAGAUGUACUGCUAGUUGUGUGUUUAUUCUGAUUAGCAUUCUCGGUCUUUUUUUUGCAGACAGUACAACCGUAUGCUGGAAUUAAUUGACAGGAUCGACUCUAUGAUCUCCAUCACUGAGAGGCAUGGGCGCUUAAUUGCUGCCAUCCAGCGACGCAUGAACGAACAACCAGAUGGUGCUCAUAACGGAGGGAGGCGGUGCACGGCUUGUGGCGGGACGGGCCACAACAGGAUUACUUGUGGACAUCAUUCUCGAUCGAAGACGAAGUAGAAGUCAAUUAGAUUCCAUGUAGUUUUGCUGAUUUUGUGGCAAAUAGAUGGCGUGCAAUCUUACAUUUUUUACCCUUCACUGUCGAACAUGUAUUCACCGCAAAAAUGGAAGAGAAU
rnacentral:lncRNA from 1 species